AUGGUUACUGGUUGUUACAGAGUGAGUAGACGAUGGUUACUGGUUGUUCCCCUGUCUCUCUCUCUAUUGGUGUCAGUAUGUUCCCCUGUCUCUCUCUCUAUUGGUGUCAGUAUGUUCCCCUGUCUCUCUCUCUCUAUUGGUGUCAGUAUGUUCCCCUGUCUCUCUCUCUCUCUAUUGGUGUCAGUAUGUUCCCCUGUCUCUCUCUCUCUACUGGUGUCAGUAUGUUCCCCUGUCUCUCUCUCUCUAUUGGUGUCAGUAUGUUCCCCUGUCUCUCUCUCUAUUGGUGUCAGUAUGUUCCCCUGUCUCUCUCUCUCUAUUGGUGUCAGUAUGUUCCCCUGUCUCUCUCUCUCUAUUGGUGUCAGUAUGUUCCCUUGUCUCUCUCUCUCUCUAUUGGUGUCAGUAUGUUUCCCUGUCUCUCUCUCUCUAUUGGUGUCAGUAUGUUCCCCUGUCUCUCUCUCUCUCUAUUGGUGUCAGUAUGUUCCCCUGUCUCUCUCUCUCUACUGGUGUCAGUAUGUUCCCCUGUCUCUCUCUCUCUAUUGGUGUCAGUAUGUUCCCCUGUCUCUCUCUCUAUUGGUGUCAGUAUGUUCCCCUGUCUCUCUCUCUCUAUUGGUGUCAGUAUGUUCCCCUGUCUCUCUCUCUCUAUUGGUGUCAGUAUGUUCCCUUGUCUCUCUCUCUCUCUAUUGGUGUCAGUAUGUUUCCCUGUCUCUCUCUCUCUAUUGGUUUCAGUAUGUUCCCCAGUCUCUCUCUCUCUAUUGGUUACAGUAUGUUCCCCUGUCUCUCUCUCUCUAUUGGUGUCAGUAUGUUCCCCUGUCUCUCUCUCUCUAUUGGUGUCAGUAUGUUCCCCUGUCUCUCUCUCUCUAUUGGUGUCAGUAUGUUCCCCUGUCUCUCUCUCUCUAUUGGUGUCAGUAUGUUCCCCUGUCUCUCUCUCUCUAUUGGUGUCAGUAUGUUCCCCUGUCUCUCUCUCUCUAUUGGUGUCAGUAUGUUCCCCUGUCUCUCUCUCUAUUGGUGUCAGUAUUUUCCCCUGUCUCUCUCUCUCUAUUGGUGUCAGUGUGUUCCCCUGUCUCUCUCUCAAUUGGUGUCAGUGUGUUCCCCUGUCUCUCUCUCUAUUGGUGUCAGUGUGUUCCCCUGUCUCUCUCUCAAUUGGUGUCAGUGUUUUCCCCUGUCUCUCUCUCUCUAUUGGUGUCAGUAUGUUCCCCUGUCUCUCUCUCUCUAUUGGUGUCAGUAUGUUCCCCUGUCUCUCUCUCUCUAUUGGUGUCAGUAUGUUCCCCUGUCUCUCUCUCUCUAUUGGUGUCAGUAUGUUCCCCUGUCUCUCUCUCUCUAUUGGUGUCAGUAUGUUCCCCUGUCUCUCUCUCUCUCUCUCUAUUGGUGUCAGUAGGUUCACCUGUCUCUCUCUCUAUUGGUGUCAGUAUGUUCCCCUGUCUCUCUCUCUCUCUAUUGGUGUCAGUAUGUUCUGUCUCUCUCUCUCUAUUGGUGUCAGUAUGUUCCCCUCUCUCUCUCUCUCUAUUGGUGUCAGUAUGUUCCCCUGUCUCUCUCUCUCUCUAUUGGUGUCAGUAUGUUCCCCUGUCUCUCUCUCUAUUGGUUUCAGUAUGUUCCCCUGUCUCUCUCUCUCUCUCUCUCUCUCUCUAUUGGUGUCAGUAUGUUAUCCUGUCUCUCUCUCUCUAUUGGUGUCAGUAUGUUCCCCUGUGUCUCUCUCUACUGGUGUCAAUGUGUUCCCCUGUCUCUCUCUCUCUAUUGGUGUCAGUAUGUUCCCCUGUCUCUCUCUCUCUAUUGGUGUCAGUAUGUUCCCCUGUCUCUCUCUCUCUAUUGGUGUCAGUAUGUUCCCCUGUCUCUCUCUCUAUUGGUGUCAGUAUGUUCCCCUGUCUCUCUCUCUCUAUUGGUGUCAGUAUGUUUUCCUGUCUCUCUCUCUCUAUUGGUGUCAGUAUGUUCCCCUGUCUCUCUCUCUAUUGGUGUCAGUAUGUUCCCCUGUCUCUCUCUCUCUACUGGUGUCAGUAUGUUCCCCUGUCUCUCUCUCUAUUGGUGUCAGUAUGUUCCCCUGUCGCUCUCUCUAUUGGUGUCAGUAUGUUCCCCUGUCUCUCUCUCUAUUGGUGUCAGUAUGUUCCCCUGUCUCUCUCUCUCGAUUGGUGUCAGUAUGUUCCCCUGUCUCUCUCUCUCUAUUGGUGUCAGUAUGUUCCCCUGUCUCUCUCUCUCUAUUGGUGUCAGUAUGUUCCCCUGUCUCUCUCUCUAUUGGUGUCAGUAUGUUCCCCUGUCUCUCUCUCUCUAUUGGUGUCAGUAUGUUCCCCUGUCUCUCUCUCUCUAUUGGUGUCAGUAUGUUCCCCUGUCUCUCUCUCUAUUGGUGUCAAUAUGUUCCCCUGUCUCUCUCUCUCUCUAUUGGUGUCAGUAUGUUCUCCUGUCUCUCUCACUAUUGGUGUCAGUAUGGUCCCCUGUCUCUCUCUCUGUGUUUGUGUCAGUUGUGUCCCUGGGGUUUAUUUUGAGGUCUUAUCACAGCUGUUCUAUAUGUGGGCAAGACCCCCCACCCCUCUCUCUCUCGCUCUUUUCCUCCUUCUCACUUCUCCUUUUCGUUCUCAUAUACCCAGGACCUUCUGGUAA
rnacentral:lncRNA from 1 species